rnacentral:tRNA from 1 species
GGAGAGGUGCCGGAGUGGUCGAACGGGGCGGUUUCGAAAACCGCUGAGGGCUUGCCGCCCUCCCAGGGUUCGAAUCCCUGCCUCUCCG